CCCUUUAUGGAAUGAUUGUCGAGGGGGAAAAUUGAGGUUAAAAUUUCAUAAUGCAUUUUUUUACCAGAAAGGGAAUGCCAAAGAUUUUAUUCUGUUAAGGGGAUUGGCCCCGCGUCCGGAUUUAGCUGGUUGGUGAGGUAGCGGCUUCACCCAAGGCGGACGAUCGGUUAGGCGAGCUUGAGAGGGCGGACGGCCACAUUGGAACUGAGACACGGUCCAGACUCCUACGGGGAGGCAGCAGUGGGGGGAUAUUGCACAAUGGAGGGAAACUUUGAUGCCAGGAACGCCGCGUGAAGGAAGAAGGGCAUUCGGGUCGUAAACUUCUGUCCUUGGGGAAGAAAAGAAAUGACGGUACCCUUGGAGGAAGCCCCGGCUUAACUACGUGCCAGCAGCCGCGGUAACACGUAGGGGGCGAGCGUUAUCCGGAAUUACUGGGCGUAAAGAGUGCGUAGGUGGCUUUUUAAGCGCGGGGUCUAAGGCUAUGGCCUAACCAUAGUCCGCCCUGCGAACUGGAGAGCUUGAGUACAGGAGGGGAAAGCGGAAUUCCUAGUGUAGCGGUGAAAUGCGUAGAUAUUAGGAGGAACACCAGUGGCGAAGGCGGCUUUCUGGACUGAAACUGACACUGAGGCACGAAAGCGUGGGUAGCAAACAGGAUUAGAUACCCUGGUAGUCCACGCCGUAAACGAUGAGCACCAGGUGUCGGACUCGAGAGAGUUCGGUGCCGAAGCUAACGCAUUAA
rnacentral:rRNA from 1 species